GCUGAGUCGGCGCGGAGCCGCUGCAGGUGUUGCAGCCUCGGCGGAGGCGGCUUUGGAUAACGGUUGUGCGCGCAGGUUCCUCAUCCCCGUGGCUGCCCCUUUCCUCCGCAGCAAAGGCGGGCUUCGGCGGGUGGGGGAGGAGGGGGUCCCCGUCUUGUAGGGCGGCCGUGGUGGGUCUGUGGCGCCCGUUGGAUGCGCUCCCGGAGCCCGGGGCAGGAGGGGGCCGGAGGGAGGCGUUGCCUCGCCGCUGCCUGAGAGGAUUUACGACGUCUCGGACUCCGCCUGGCGCCGGUGCCGCCGCCGCCUGCCCUGUGUGCAGGUCCCCCUGGCGCGCGGGAAGCGGAGAUGGACGAGAAGUACCUGCCCGAGCUGAUGGCGGAGAAGGACUCGCUGGACCCGUCCUUCACCCAUGCGCUGCGGCUGGUGAACCAAGAAAUUGAGAAAUUCCAAAAAGGGGAAGGAAAGGAAGAAGAAAAGUAUAUUGAUGUAGUGAUAAAUAAAAAUAUGAAGCUGGGGCAGAAAGUGUUAAUUCCAGUAAAACAAUUCCCUAAGUUCAACUUUGUGGGAAAACUUUUGGGUCCACGUGGCAAUUCACUGAAACGUUUACAGGAAGAAACAUUGACAAAAAUGUCGAUAUUGGGAAAAGGUUCCAUGAGGGACAAAUCCAAGGAAGAAGAGUUGAGAAAAAGUGGGGAAGCAAAAUACUUCCACCUAAAUGAUGACCUGCAUGUUCUCAUUGAAGUAUUUGCCCCACCAGCAGAGGCAUAUGCCAGAAUGGGGCAUGCUUUGGAAGAAAUCAAGAAGUUCCUUAUCCCUGACUACAAUGAUGAAAUCAGACAGGCACAGCUCCAAGAAUUAACAUAUUUGAAUGGUGGUUCAGAAAAUGCAGAAGUUCCAGUUGUUCGCGGAAAACCACCAAUACGAGCACGAGGAGUACCAGUCCCUGCUUUGGCCAGGGGCCGUGGAGGAGUGCCACCCCCACCAGCAGGUGUACCAAGAGGGGCACCAGCUCCCAGGGGAGUACCUCCCAGUAGAGGUCCAGUCAGUCGUGGUCGUGGACUUCUAGCCCCCCGAGCAAGAGGAGUACCUCCACCUGCAGGCUACCGGCCUCUGCCACCACCUCCAGCACAGGAAACAUAUGGAGAAUAUGAGUAUGAUGAUGGAUAUGGCACUGCUUAUGAUGAGCAGGGCUACGACUCCUAUGAUAACAGCUAUAGCACCCAGGCACAAAGUGGAACAGAUUACUAUGAUUAUGGACACGGACUUAGUGAGGAAACAUAUGAUUCUUAUGGGCAAGAAGAAUGGACCAACUCAAGACACAAGGCACCUUCAGCAAGGACAACAAAGGGAAUCUACAGAGACCAGCCAUAUGCCAGAUACUGAUUGUACUGUCUGAUGUUGUGAAAUAUCCAAUCUCCACCAGUCCUGUAUACUGUUCCAAGAAACGGUAAACGUCUUGGGGAUCCAAGAGAACAAAAACCUAAAUCGGUUGAUGCUUUGGGACUUCUGUCGUGAUUAUUAUGGACUGCUUAGGCUAUUAUAUUCACCAGUGUGCCUAGUCAACAAUGAAAUCAGCUUUGGAAUUUGAAAAUGCAGUUCUCUUUCUCUUCCAGUAUUUUACGGACUGUAGUACUAAAGUGUAUCAUAUUAUAUCCUUUAUUUUUAACAACUGCUAUAAAAUCCCUUAAUUGUUUAAUGACUUAACAAUGUUAUUUAUGUAGAAGUCAAUAAAGAAUCUCCAUUUAAAUCUCUAGUACAAAGCAAUAAUGCAUCCUUAUGUUCCUUCAGUGACUUUGUAAUUCCUACACAGAAGCUAUGAGCGAACCUUGUGUGGAGUCUUAUGACAAGACCCACAGUUAACUUUUGGAAGUGGUUUAUCUACUGUAUGUGCAGCAUGGACAAGUAAAUAUGAAAACAAGUUUGUUACACAGAAGCUAUUGUGUUGCUCAUAGGCUCAGUGUAAACAGAUGUGCCUGACGCAAGACUGAUUAGUAGAGAGAGAAUAAACCCAAUUUCAAUUUCCUUCAGUAAUUUGUUUAUAGAACAUGAAGGUCAUAAUCACUGUGGACUGUAUUAUAUGGUUCAUUGUCUUUCACUUAUUCUGUGGUAUACUGUGGUUAUAAUUUUACAUCUACAGAAGUAUCUUCUCUACUCUUAUAAUAUAAGGUCACAUGUUUUCCAGUGGAAGAAUUUCAAGCUAGUUUUUGUGUCUUGAUAAAUAUGCUCUCUUGUACCUGGUAAACCUGUUUCCUCAAUGUUUUUUUCAUUUUCAUAUUAGUCCUUAUUGUGAUAAUUUGUAACCCAAAUAAACUUCUGGUAAUUUAACCUUUUCUUACUGCAAAGCUGACUGCAAAGCCAACUGCUUUCCACCCAUGCUUCAGAAAUUUACUUCCAUCGGAUGCAUUUUCCUUUCUGAUAGUUCUUGAAACUCAACAAGUUCGGCCACUGUGCAUGCCAAUUAAUCCAUUUCCAUACUGAGACCAGACUUUUCUUUUUAGCUAAGUGUAUAUUUUCAAGU